ACAGAUCGUUCAGAGUUUGAUCCUGGCUCAGGACGAACGCUGGCGGCGUGCUUAACACAUGCAAGUCGAACGGAACUUCUUGGAUAGAGACUUCGGUCAAUUGAAUUGAAGUUUAGUGGCGGACUGGUGAGUAACGCGUGAGGAACCUGCCUUUCAGAGGGGGACAACGGUUGGAAACGACUGCUAAUACCGCAUGAUACAUCGAGGGGGCAUCCCCUUGAUGUCAAAGAUUUUAUCGCUGAAAGAUGGCCUCGCGUCCCAUUAGAUAGUUGGCGGGGUAACGGCCCACCAAGUCGACGAUGGGUAGCCGGACUGAGAGGUUGACCGGCCACAUUGGGACUGAGAUACGGCCCAG
rnacentral:rRNA from 1 species